rnacentral:rRNA from 1 species
CUACGGGAGGCUGCAGUGAGGAAUAUUGCACAAUGGGGGGAACCCUGAUGCAGCAACGCCGCGUGGAGGAUGACGCAUUUCGGUGUGUAAACUCCUUUUAUAUGUCAAGAAAAUGACGGUAGCAUAUGAAUAAGCACCGGCUAACUCCGUGCCAGCAGCCGCGGUAAUACGGAGGGUGCAAGCGUUACUCGGAAUCACUGGGCGUAAAGGACGCGUAGGCGGGUUGGAAAGUCAGGUGUGAAAUCCUACAGCUUAACUGUAGAACUGCACUUGAAACUUUAAUCUAGAGUAUGGGAGGGGGAGAUGGAAUUAGUGGUGUAGGGGUAAAAUCCGUAGAUAUCACUAGGAAUACCUAAAGCGAAGGCGAUCUCCUGGAACAUUACUGACGCUAAGGCGUGAAAGCGUGGGGAGCAAACAGGAUUAGAUACCCGCGUAGUC